AUGGAGGCCAGCAGCUGCAGCUCCAAUUCAACUCCUAGCCUGGGAGCUUCCAUAUGCAUCGAGUGUGGCCCUAAGAAGCAAAAAAAAAAAAAAAAAAAAAAAAAAAAAAAAAAAAAAAAAAAAAAAAAAAAAGGAAAGAAAAAGAAGACUAGAAUGGAAGGAGAUUUUGACAUUAAAUCCAGAGUAUGUGUGGUCCAUAUUAAAAUAAAAUUUGGGAGCCUUACACGAUAUUCGUCUGGAGGCAUGGCAUUGCCAGCUGGAAAUAGGAAGCUGUGGUUCUCAGCAUUAAAAUAUUUAAAGUCAUGGGGUGGAAUGAAGUUACCUAAGGAAAAAAUGAAGAACAAAGAUAUUUCUUAUGGAAUCCAAGAUUCAGAGGUUGAACUCCAAGAACACUUUUAAAAGAUCACUGUGGUGGUACCAUGAAGAACAGUUUGGAUAGAGUAAUGGAUGUAGGGGCAUUUUAAGGAGAGCUAUUACAAUUGUGGGGAAGGAGAUGGUGUUACCUUGGAGUGAGAAGUAGUUAGGAGCAAUAGAAAGUUGAGUAGGUGCCUGGACUGUAUCAGCCAUCAAACCAGACCAGCCACCCCCUCAGGGACAUAAAUAUUUUAAUUUCUCUUAUGAUAUUUGGCAGAUGUAAAAGUUAUUAUAUUUUAGCAAUUAGUGUUCUCUAAGUAAAUUUUAUAUGAUAUUCCAGGGACCAGCAUCUCUAUCUCAUGUAUAAAUGAUUAACUACUUUAAUUAAAGAAACACUUCUAGUUGCCAGAUUUGUUUACGCCAUAGGCCUCCUACCUCUGUGUCAAUUAUGUAUAAAAUAUAAUAAUACAAAUAUGUAAAUGCAUAAAAUAUUGAUAAAACCGAAAGGUGAGUUGAAGCCAACUCCACCUCAGUCAAUGGAUGACCAGUUGUAGUUCCAAUUUUUUAAAACUGUUGUCGCUACCUAAGAAAAUUUACCUUCUGAGUGCAUUUGCCCUCCACACAGAUGUUGUAAAAAUCAAAGAAUAAAAUGAUAGUGGAAACAUUGAGAGACUGAGAA
rnacentral:lncRNA from 1 species